rnacentral:rRNA from 1 species
GACGAACGCUGGCGGCGUGCUUAACACAUGCAAGUCGAACGGAAAGGCCCUGCUUUUGUGGGGUGCUCGAGUGGCGAACGGGUGAGUAACACGUGAGUAACCUGCCCUUGACUUUGGGAUAACUUCAGGAAACUGGGGCUAAUACCGGAUAGGAGCUCCUGCUGCAUGGUGGGGGUUGGAAAGUUUCGGCGGUUGGGGAUGGACUCGCGGCUUAUCAGCUUGUUGGUGGGGUAGUGGCUUACCAAGGCUUUGACGGGUAGCCGGCCUGAGAGGGUGGCCGGCCACAUUGGGACUGCGAUACGGCCCAGACUCCUACGGGAGGCAGCAGUGGGGAAUAUUGCACAAUGGGCGGAAGCCUGAUGCAGCAGCGCCGCGUGCGGGAUGACGGCCUUCGGGUUGUAAACCGCUUUCGCCUGUGACGAAGCGUGAGUGACGGUAAUGGGUAAAGAAGCACCGGCUAACUACGUG